rnacentral:rRNA from 1 species
CUACGGGUGGCUCCAGUGAGGAAUUUUGCGCAAUGGGGGUAACCCUGACGCAGCAACGCCGCGUGAGUGAAGAAGGCCUUUGGGUCGUAAAGCUCUGUCAACUGGGAAGAAGUUAGAAUUUAUUAACAGUGGAUUCUAUUGACGGUACCAGUGGAGGAAGCGCCGGCUAACUCCGUGCCAGCAGCCGCGGUAAUACGGGGGGCGCAAGCGUUAUUCGGAAUUAUUGGGCGUAAAGGGCGCGCAGGCGGUCGUGUCGGUCGGGUGUGAAAGCCCGGGGCUCAACCCUGGAAGUGCACUUGAACAGCAAGACUGGAGUACGGGAGAGGAGAGCGGAAUUCCUGGUGUAGAGGUGAAAUUCGUAGAUAUCAGGAGGAACACCGAUGGCGAAGGCAGCUUUCUGGACCGAUACUGACGCUGAGGCGCGAAGGCGUGGGUAGCGAACGGGAUUAGAUACCCCAGUAGUC